AGGGAUAUAGCUCAUUGGUAGAAUACUUGCCUAGUAUGUACCAAGCCCUGGGUUCAAUCCCCAGCAUCACUA
rnacentral:tRNA from 1 species